rnacentral:rRNA from 1 species
GCUUGCUUUCCUGUCGACGAGUGGCGGACGGGUGAGUAACGCAUAGGAAUCUGCCCCGUGGUGGGGGACAACGUAGGGAAACUUACGCUAAUACCGCAUAACACCCUAGGGUCAAAGCGGGGGAUCGCAAGACCUCGCGCCUUGGGAUGAGCCUAUGUUGGAUUAGCCAGACGGUGAGGUAACGGCUCACCGUAGCGACGAUCCAUAGCCGGUUUGAGAGGAUGAUCGGCCACAUUGGGACUGAGACACGGCCCAAACUCCUACGGGAGGCAGCAGUGGGGAAUAUUGGACAAUGGGGGCAACCCUGAUCCAGCAAUGCCGCGUGUGUGAAGAAGGCCUUCGGGUUGUAAAGCACUUUCGGUGAGGAAGAAAAGCCUGUGGCUAAUACCCAUAGGAAUGACAUUACUCACAGAAGAAGCACCGGCUAACUCCGUGCCAGCAGCCGCGGUAAUACGGAGGGUGCAAGCGUUAUUCGGAAUGACUGGGCGUAAAGCGCACGCAGGUGGUUGCUUAAGUCAGAUGUGAAAGCCCCGGGCUCAACCUGGGAACUGCAUUUGAAACUGGGCGACUGGAGUAUGUCAGAGGAAAGCGGAAUUUCCGGUGUAGCAGUGAAAUGCGUAGAGAUCGGAAGGAACACCGAUGGCGAAGGCAGCUUUCUGGGGCAAUACUGACACUCAUGUGCGAAAGCGUGGGUAGCAAACAGGAUUAGAUACCCUGGUAGUCCACGCCCUAAACGAUGUCAACUAGGCGUUGGGUAAGCAAUUACUCGGUGCCGGAGCUAACGCAAUAAGUUGACCGCCUGGGGAGUACGGCCGCAAGGUUGAAACUCAAAGAAAUUGACGGGGACCCGCACAAGCGGUGGA